AUGAAUCUAAACCCAUCUCCUGUCCUGAAGAAUUGGAGUGUUGUUUACGGAUCCAGGAAGUGGACCUGUGACAAUGACUGUUAGAAAUGCUCAAAGACUAUCCAUUGCACUGAAGAUUCCAUUUUGUAUCGAGGUCAAUCAAAUUGCAUAGGUAGCAACAGCAUGAAAACAGUUAAAACAUGCGAGUAUGAAAUCUUGGUGCUGGAGGAUAGAGAGUUU